UGGAGAGUUUGAUCCUGGCUCAGGACGAACGCUGGCGGCGUGCCUAAUACAUGCAAGUCGAGCGAGCUUGCCUAUAGAAGUUCUUCGGAAUGGACAUAGAUACAAGCUAGCGGCGGAUGGGUGAGUAACGCGUGGGUAACCUGCCCUUAAGUCUGGGAUACCAUUUGGAAACAGAUGCUAAUACCGGAUAAAAGCUACUUUCGCAUGAAAGAAGUUUAAAAGGCGGCGUAAGCUGUCGCUAAAGGAUGGACCUGCGAUGCAUUAGCUAGUUGGUAAGGUAACGGCUUACCAAGGCGAUGAUGCAUAGCCGAGUUGAGAGACUGAUCGGCCACAUUGGGACUGAGACACGGCCCAAACUCCUACGGGAGGCAGCAGUAGGGAAUCUUCCACAAUGGACGAAAGUCUGAUGGAGCAACGCCGCGUGAGUGAAGAAGGUUUUCGGAUCGUAAAGCUCUGUUGUUGGUGAAGAAGGAUAGAGGUAGUAACUGGCCUUUAUUUGACGGUAAUCAACCAGAAAGUCACGGCUAACUACGUGCCAGCAGCCGCGGUA
rnacentral:rRNA from 1 species